CAAAGAGGGGCUCUGGCCUCAGCAUGAUUGCAAUAGAUUAGCUGAUCGGUAACGCUCCCUAAGGCACGAUUCCUAGCUGUCGGAGAGGAUGCAGGCCAACCUGAACUAGACCGUUCCAGCUCCUACCGGAGGCAGCAGUGGGAAUAUUGCACAAUGGCCAAGCCUGAUGCAGCAUGCCGCGUGUAUGAAGAAGCCUUCGGGUGUAAGUACUUCAGCGGGGAGGAAGGGAGUAAAGUUAAUACCUUACUCAUGACGUACCCGCAGAAGAAGCACCGGCUAACUCGUGCAGCAGCCGCGGUAAUACGGAGGGUGCAAGCGUAAUCGGAAUUACUGGGCGUAAAGCGGCACGCAGGCGGUUUGUUAAGUCAGAUGUGAAAUCCCCGGGCUCAACCUGGGAACUGCAUCUGAUACUGGCAAGCUUGAGUCUCGUAGAGGGGGGUAGAAUUCCAGGUGUAGCGGUGAAAUGCGUAGAGAUCUGGAGGAAUACCGGUGGCGAAGGCGGCCCCCUGGACGAAGACUGACGCUCAGGUGCGAAAGCGUGGGGAGCAAACAGGAUUAGAUACCCUGGUAGUCCACGCCGUAAACGAUGUCGACUUGGAGGUUGUGCCCUUGAGGCGUGGCUUCCGGAGCUAACGCGUUAAGUCGACCGCCUGGGGAGUACGGCCGCAAGGUUAAAACUCAAAUGAAUUGACGGGGGCCCGCACAAGCGGUGGAGCAUGUGGUUUAAUUCGAUGCAACGCGAAGAACCUUACCUGGUCUUGACAUCCACGGAAGUUUUCAGAGAUGAGAAUGUGCCUUCGGGAACCGUGAGACAGGUGCUGCAUGGCUGUCGUCAGCUCGUGUUGUGAAAUGUUGGGUUAAGUCCCGCAACGAGCGCAACCCUUAUCCUUUGUUGCCAGCGGUCCGGCCGGGAACUCAAAGGAGACUGCCAGUGAUAAACUGGAGGAAGGUGGGGAUGACGUCAAGUCAUCAUGGCCCUUACGACCAGGGCUACACACGUGCUACAAUGGCGCAUACAAAGAGAAGCGACCUCGCGAGAGCAAGCGGACCUCAUAAAGUGCGUCGUAGUCCGGAUUGGAGUCUGCAACUCGACUCCAUGAAGUCGGAAUCGCUAGUAAUCGUGGAUCAGAAUGCCACGGUGAAUACGUUCCCGGGCCUUGUACACACCGCCCGUCACACCAUGGGAGUGGGUUGCAAAAGAAGUAUGGUAGCUUAAUCUUCGCUCAGAUGCAAAGCACUUCUAUCCAUAUUUC
rnacentral:rRNA from 1 species